GACGAACGCUGGCGGCGUGCUUAACACAUGCAAGUCGAACGGAAAGGCCCUGCUUGCAGGGUACUCGAGUGGCGAACGGGUGAGUAACACGUGGGUGAUCUGCCCUGCACUUCGGGAUAAGCCUGGGAAACUGGGUCUAAUACCGGAUAGGAGCCAUUUUUAGUGUGAUGGUUGGAAAGUUUUUUCGGUGUAGGAUGAGCUCGCGGCCUAUCAGCUUGUUGGUGGGGUAAUGGCCUACCAAGGCGGCGACGGGUAGCCGGCCUGAGAGGGUGGACGGCCACAUUGGGACUGAGAUACGGCCCAGACUCCUACGGGAGGCAGCAGUGGGGAAUAUUGCACAAUGGGCGCAAGCCUGAUGUAGCGACGCCGCGUGGGGGAGGACGGCCUUCGGGUUGUAAACUCCUUUCGCUAGGGACGAAGCUUUUUGUGACGGUACCUAGAUAAGAAGCACCGGCUAACUACGUG
rnacentral:rRNA from 1 species